rfam:Erinaceus europaeus unplaced genomic scaffold scaffold00255, whole genome shotgun sequence
UCACGUGAUGACGGACAUUUCUUCACUUUGACCUGACGCACCGUGAAGAGACCCACAGUCUGAGC